rnacentral:rRNA from 1 species
AAAUUGAAGAGUUUGAUCAUGGCUCAGAUUGAACGCUGGCGGCAGGCCUAACACAUGCAAGUCGAACGGUAACAGGAAGAAGCUUGCUUCUUUGCUGACGAGUGGCGGACGGGUGAGUAAUGUCUGGGAAACUGCCUGAUGGAGGGGGAUAACUACUGGAAACGGUAGCUAAUACCGCAUAACGUCGCAAGACCAAAGAGGGGGACCUUCGGGCCUCUUGCCAUCGGAUGUGCCCAGAUGGGAUUAGCUAGUAGGUGGGGUAACGGCUCACCUAGGCGACGAUCCCUAGCUGGUCUGAGAGGAUGACCAGCCACACUGGAACUGAGACACGGUCCAGACUCCUACGGGAGGCAGCAGUGGGGAAUAUUGCACAAUGGGCGCAAG